UAAUACGGAGGGUGCAAGCGUUAAUCGGAAUUACUGGGCGUAAAGCGCACGCAGGCGGUUUGUUAAGUCAGAUGUGAAAUCCCCGGGCUCAACCUGGGAACUGCAUUUGAAACUGGCAAGCUAGAGUCUCGUAGAGGGGGGUAGAAUUCCAGGUGUAGCGGUGAAAUGCGUAGAGAUCUGGAGGAAUACCGGUGGCGAAGGCGGCCCCUGGACGAAGACUGACGCUCAGGUGCGAAAGCGUGGGGAGCAAACAGGAUUAGAUACCCUGGUAGUCCACGCUGUAAACGAUGUCGAUUUGGAGGUUGUGCCCUUGAGGCGUGGCUUCCGGAGCUAACGCGUUAAAUCGACCGCCUGGGGAGUACGGCCGCAAGGUUA
rnacentral:rRNA from 1 species